AACGCGAAGAACCUUACCUACUCUUGACAUCCUAGGAAUUUUGUAGAGAUACGAAAGUGCCGAAAGGAACCUAGAGACAGGUGCUGCAUGGCUGUCGUCAGCUCGUGUUGUGAGAUGUUGGGUUAAGUCCCGUAACGAGCGCAACCCUUAUCCUUAGUUACCAGCGCGUUAUGGCGGGGACUCUAAGGAGACUGCUGGUGAUGAACCGGAGGAAGGUGGGGACGACGUCAAGUCAUCAUGGCCUUUAUGGGUAGGGCUACACACGUGCUACAAUGGGCAGUACAGAGGGAAGCCAACCCGCGAGGGGGAGCCAAUCUCACAAAGCUGUUCGUAGUCCAGAUUGGAGUCUGCAACUCGACUCCAUGAAGUUGGAAUCGCUAGUAAUCGCGAAUCAGAAUGUCGCGGUGAAUACGUUCCCGGGCCUUGUACACACCGCACUAC
rnacentral:rRNA from 1 species